AUUGAACGCUGGCGGCAGGCCUAACACAUGCGAGUCGAGCGGAUGAAGGGAGCUUGCUCCUGGAUUCAGCGGCGGACGGGUGAGUAAUGCCUAGGAAUCUGCCUGGUAGUGGGGGAUAACAUCCGGAAACGGGCGCUAAUACCGCAUACGUCCUGAGGGAGAAAGUGGGGGAUCUUCGGACCUCACGCUAUCAGAUGAGCCUAGGUCGGAUUAGCUAGUUGGUGGGGUAAAGGCCUACCAAGGCGACGAUCCGUAACUGGUCUGAGAGGAUGAUCAGUCACACUGGAACUGAGACACGGUCCAGACUCCUACGGGAGGCAGCAGUGGGGAAUAUUGGACAAUGGGCGAAAGCCUGAUCCAGCCAUGCCGCGUGUGUGAAGAAGGUCUUCGGAUUGUAAAGCACUUUAAGUUGGGAGGAAGGGCAGUAAGUUAAUACCUUGCUGUUUUGACGUUACCAACAGAAUAAGCACCGGCUAACUUCGUG
rnacentral:rRNA from 1 species